rnacentral:lncRNA from 1 species
ACAUUUUAGUUUAAUUUAAUUGAUCUUUCCCAAUGAAAUUGCACAGAAAACUUUUCUGAAUAGCUCUUCCAAAGAGGCUUUGGAGUCAAGAGGACAGGCAGAACACUUCAGGAAAUGAGUCUGGAACAAGAAAAAGGAAGUUGUGACCUGAGUGGCUGAACAGAUUGCAGAAGGCACUGCCAGGGAAUCCAGUGGCCAAAGGCACAAAUAUGUUGAAGACUGUGAAACCAAGAAUGAGAGACAAGAGUGAGCUUCCUCCAGCCCCUUGUGUCAUCUGGGCAUGCUUGUGCCACGUGUCACUACAAACAGUUGGGACAUCUGGAACGGGUUCAUGUGAGUCCAUAGGGUU